GACGAACGCUGGCGGCGUGCUUAACACAUGCAAGUCGAACGAAGUGGCGAACGGGUGUGUCACGCGUAAUCAACCUGCCCUUCAGAGGGGGAUAACAGUUGGAAACGACUGCUAAUACCGCAUACUGAAGGAGGGGUUCGCGUCUGAUUAGCUAGUGGGUGGUGGAACGGACCACCAAGGCGAUGAUCAGUAGCCGGUCUGAGAGGAUGAACGGCCACAUUGGGACUGAGCACCGGCCCAGACUCCUACGGGAGGCAGCAGUGGGGAAUCUUCCGCAAUGGACGGAAGUCUGACGGAGCAACGCCGCAUGAGUGAUGACGGCCUUCGGGUUGUAAAGCUCUGUUAAUCGGGGCGCGGUACCGGAAUAGAAAGCCACGGCUAACUACGUGCCAGCAGCCGCGGUAAUUC
rnacentral:rRNA from 1 species